rnacentral:rRNA from 1 species
GAUGAACGCUGGCGGCGUGCUUAACACAUGCAAGUCGAACGGAAAGGUCCUGCUUUUGCGGGGUGCUCGAGUGGCGAACGGGUGAGUAACACGUGAGUAACCUGCCCUUGACUUUGGGAGAACUUCACGAAACUGGGGCGAAUACCGGAGAGGAGCUCCUGCUGCAUGGGGGGGGUUGGAAAGUGUCGGCGGUUGGGGAUGGUCUCGCGGCUUAUGAGCUGGUUGGGGGGGUAGUGGCGUACAAGGGCUUCGACGGGUAGCCGGCCUUGGAGCGUGACCGGCCACCUUGGGCCUGCGGUACGGCGCAGACUGCUACGGGCGGCAGCAGUCGGGAAUCUUGCACAGUGGCCGGACGCCUGAUGCAGCAACGCCGCGUGCGGGAUGCCGGCCUUCGGGUUGUAAACAGAUUUCGCAUGUGACGAAGCGUGCGUGACGGUAAUGGGUAAAGAAGCACCGGCUAACUACGUG